CUGGGCAUCCAGCACCACCCUUGGUCACGUGGCGUGGAGGGGAGCGGCUGCCCAGGGCUCCUGCCGUGGUGUGUCAGAGCCCAGCAAGGUUCAGGCCAGCACUGCUCCCUAUCAACGUGCGUGUGCCUCCUCUCAGGUGAUCUCUCGCCAGGGCCGGGCCGCGCGGGGGCCGUGGCCGGCUCAUGUGGAAGAGGUGUCCCAGAGUCUGCCGUCCACCCCGGCCGCCUGUGCCCGGUUCUGCCGGACACUUCACACACAUGGUCACAGCCCUCCUGGGGAGCAGGUGUUGUCAUCUUUGUUGCCCAGAGAAGUGACGGAUUCCUCCAAGCUUGGGAAGGAAGCCUGAGGUUGGAGAGCACCAUGAGGUCCCAUGUGUCAUCUGAUGGCUGACCCUUUGGAGGUCAUCCAGACAAGCUUGAUGUGACCUGCCAUGUUCAUUUACCUAUUUGUGUUUAAUCAGCAUCUGAUUGAAGUCAAACAAGUCACGGCUUUCCUCUUGUAUGGUUAAUCAUGCCACGGGUGUCUCGGUUGGUGUGCCACCUCCAAGCUCUGAGUGAAAACACCUUUGGCUUUCGUUCCAUCCCUCUUUCCAUGAACCAGUGGGGGACUUGGAUCCAGGAUGCUUUCUGGCGGGAUUCCCUCACCCUGCCUUCCUUCUGGACAGCAGACCCUUGGCAUGGGUGUUGACAGCACUGCCCAGGGCACUGGUGGCUGUUACCAGGCUGAGGAUCCACCUUUUGAUGUUUUUUUACCUGUGGACAUCGACAAGACUUCCAGAGAGGGCUGCUGGGCCUCUCCAAAGAUUUCUCCAGAGGUUCUGUUCUUACUCCUGUCCCUGGGGUGGCCCAGUUUA